UUCUUCUAUUUCUCCAUGGGA
ensembl:piRNA 21ur-320 ncRNA